CGGACCUCAGAUCAGACAAGACCACCCG
rnacentral:rRNA from 1 species